rnacentral:tRNA from 2 species
GGAGAGAUGCCAGAGCGGCUUAUUGGAGCGGUCUCGAAAACCGUUGACCUUCACGGGUCCGGGGGUUCAAAUCCUCCUCUCUCCG